AUUGUAUGGUGUUGCCCAUCAAAAAACUUUGAAUGACAAUCUAGGGGUAGCAUGUUCURUGGUCUCAUAAAGGUUGUGGGCUGCCUGAGCUAUAGUCCUCAUUUCUGGUUUCUCACUGUAUCAAAUUAUGUUUUUCUUGUCAGCAAUACUGGAGUGAGCUGGUACCUAGAGCCCAUACUGACUGUCUGGUGUGGAACUGAAGUCUAUAUUGAACUGGAGGGGACCUCGUUGUAUCCAGUGCUCUGUAAAUGCUGAAUUUUGUGGCAGUGUAACCUGGAACGCCUCUACCUGUGGGGAUCGACAGAUGGAAGGAAGAACAGAAGGUGACGACAGCAGCUGUAGAACUACACAAUCCUCCUUUGGAGUAUUUCAUAUGAGGAUAUCUCUUUGAGGCUGACAGGCUGUCAUUUACCAGAAGAUGCCUAGUUUGUGAUGGUGUUGCUGAUGUACACUAAUAGUAAAAGAGUCUGGAAUACCCCAGUGCACUUUGAAAACAAAGUGUGAGUUGCUUGGGAUAUUCCUAUAUAUAUUGGGUGCGGAGGG
rnacentral:lncRNA from 1 species